rnacentral:snoRNA from 1 species
UUACAGUGAUGAUUUUCUUUGCAUUUUUUCUGGCACCCCUAAUGCUAGACAUUCCACGACUCUUUAGUUCUGGCUUUGUCGAUGAAUAUACUUUUGACUAUUUCUGAAG